UACGGAGGGGGCGAGCGUUAUUCGGAAUUAUUGGGCGUAAAGGGCGCGUAGGCGGCCCCUUAAGUCAAAGGUGAAAUCCCUCGGCUCAACUGAGGAACUGCCUUUGAAACUGAUGGGCUUGAGGCCGGGAGGGGGUAGCGGAAUUCCCAGUGUAGCGGUGAAAUGCGUAGAUAUUGGGAGGAACACCAGUGGCGAAGGCGGCUACCUGGACCGGUUCUGACGCUGAUGCGCGAAAGCGUGGGUAGCAAACAGG
rnacentral:rRNA from 1 species